rnacentral:rRNA from 1 species
CCUACGGGUGGCAACAGUGAGGAAUAUUGGUCAAUGGACGAGAGUCUGAACCAGCCAAGUAGCGUGAAGGAUGACUGCCCUAUGGGUUGUAAACUUCUUUUAUAAAGGAAUAAAACGAGGCACGUGUGCCGUUUUGCAUGGACGUUAUGAAUAAGGAUCGGCUAACUCCGUGCCAGCAUCCGCGGUAAUACGGAGGAACCGAGCGUUAUCCGGAUUUAUUGGGUUUAAAGGGAGCGUAGAUGGGUUGUUAAGUCAGUUGUGAAAGUUUGCGGCUCAACCGUAAAAUUGCCUUUGAUACUGGCAGUCUUGAGUACAGUUGAGGUAGGCGGCAUUCGUGGUGUAGCGG